GCAUCUGCAAUGACAAAGAAAAACACAUUUGUUCUCAGUUUGUUACUCAAACGGAAUAAUUAAUUUGUUUUACAACAAAUUGUUCUGAUGGUUCAGUUCGCAUAUAGCCUAAAUGAAAUGCCUCGAUUCGCAGUAAAGGAAUAUUUACGGCGCCUUCGUACAAUCACAUUGGACCCGGAAAAGGUAUUUCUUAAAUCACCACUGAGGCUUGAGAUGCCUUGCCUCAGUUGAAAAGAAGACGAGAGUAUGGGGCUGCAAUAAUGGGUGUAGUGAAGCCUGCUUAGAUGCUAUGAUUUCCAGCAGCGAAUAAAGGCAUUUAAAAGCAAGGACAGCGGCCUUUAACAUUGUACGGUUCAGAUGUAAACAGCACAUAAUAGACUGGAAACCAUGUGUGAGCAGUUAAUGCAGCACAUUUAACGGAAAAGACGGUCCGUCAACUGUUGUGUGAAAGCGUGAAAGAAACCGCCCCCUACUGUUCUUACCAUGAUUAUUAUUAAUUUCUUCAUAAUAUGUAAUUUUCUUUUGUUGUGAGCUGAUGCUUUAGGUUGAGUUUAAAUAAAACGGUUGAGUAAAAAGCUUUUACCUCAGAAAAAACGGCUGUAGUGUGGUCCACUCAGAAGUGAGUUGGGUGCAUUGCGCGUAACGGUCACAGGCCACAGUUUAUAUUCCAGGUUAUAUUCCAUCAAGAAGUACUCAUUUAAUAUAUAUUUUUUAUAUAUGACAUUUUUAAUGUGUAUUUAUGGAAACAUACCUUGCGUUUUACUACGCAAUAAGUAGUUAUUUCCAAAAGCCUAGGCUACCUAUAAUGGUGUGUGUGGCUCUUUGCUAAAAAGUCACUUCCAAAAUAUACUUAAAGUGCUCUUUUUCCACACACUAAAUUUAUAGUUGUAUUCUAAAAAAUCUGCUUGAGUACUACUGUUUUGAAGCCUCCUCAGAUACAGACUCUUAUGUUGAAAUCGUUGCUAUGGUAACAGUUCCGCUCUAUCUAGUAGUCAGUGUUGAUGUAGCGGAGAUUUCCUGCUCCGAGAGAAGUUUAUAAUUCACACUUCCUGUUUAUUGAUUUAUGUGCUUUUAACAUACAUUUUAAAUAGGCCUAAAUAAAUAGUAUUUAUUUACCACCUGUAAUUAAGUGGUAACUAAAUACGUUUUUAUCCCAUUUGUUAUUCGUGGUGUCUUAAUGCAGGGCCGUCCCAGCCUGUGUUGGUGCUUUAGGCAAGAUUUUAGAUUGGCUGAGUACACUUGUGUUUUUAACAUUAUCUCAAGUAGUAAUACAUUUAAUAAAAAUUGUAUAAUUACUAAAAAAAUAUAAAAUUAGUGUACAAAAGGAGAGAAUGAUAAGUAGAUGAUGUAAGUUUACUUUUUAUCAUCUGGCUAGGCUAGAUAUGAUUUUAAUUAAUACAUUUUAAAUUAUGUAUUUUUUUAACAUUCAGUAAAUAAUGUUUAGUUUUUGUCACAUAGGCCUACAUUUUUUUGAAAAAUAUUGUGGUAUCGUAAAUCGUGCCCGGUUGUAUAAUUGUCUUUUGUUAAUUUUCAUAGAUAUGACCUUGAAUAAAAAUUGAUUUCCUUAAGUAAACGAAAACAUUUAUAAUUUUUAAAUAUGAGAUUAAAAAUCUUACAUGUUUCCCUUUUUUUCAGUGAGAUGUGCAGGGAAGAACCUUGCUCAUCCAAUGAUCUUUAUCUUCAAUGCCAUCAAAAUUUCCUUGUCGCAGAAUGAAGGCAUUGGUUUUGAAAUUUGAAAUGAACUUUGUUUAAUAUCUCAAGUUUUCAUUUUCUCAAAUCCACUGCAAUCAUGGCCAUGUCACAAACCUUAUUCAAAAUUUCUUCCUUUGUGGACAGCACAGGUUUGGGACAAUUUGAGGGUUAGUACAUAAUGACAGAAUCUUAAUUUUGGAUUAACCAUUCUGGAUUUGCCUCCAAGAAGCUAAUUUUGUAGUUUUACCAUCUUAUUGUAAAGUUCCAUUAGUGUCCGGCAACUGAAAAUUUGAAACUGAAAAAGAGUUUGCUUUUGGAUGAGAACAGAUAAUUUAUGUGCUUUGGUCAACGACUUUGUCAAUAUUGAUUGACAAUGAUGAUCAGGCAUAACAGUAUUAAUUGUUUUUCUCGCUGUAAAAGCUGUAAUUUUGUAUAAUGAAAACCGGAAAAAAACUAAUGCACUCUUUAAAUUGCGGAGAACGGUUGCCUGAUAAAAAAGGGAAAGUCUCAUGAAUGCAACAUUAUGAGCAACUGUUAACAACAAAUCGACCUACCUUUGUCUGAAAGGUCUGAAAGGUUUGUGCAUCAUGAAGAAGCAGGGAAAACACUUUAUAAAAAUGAAUUUGCAGUCACAACGAUAUUUUUAUGGAUAUUUUAAAUUUAAUAUUACGGCUUCCAUUAUAAGCAAAUCGGCUCAUUAUAUAAAUAUUUGUAUGCUUUAGCCACAUUGUUGAACUAGUUAUAUUAUAUCUUAAGAAAUAGUCGCAACACAUGUUUUUAUCAAGAAACUCCUGCAAUGUGAUUUUCUUUUCAUCUCAAUAUUAGUAAUAUAUGUGGUCCGAAACAGACCUCCGAUCUAGGAUUUUUACCAAAUCGGACGGAUUUAACAACGGCAAAUUUUCAACUACUAAAGUUGGACCAAAUUUCAACCAAAUUUCGACGGACCAAAACAAGACCAAAUUUCAACAUCGAUUUUUGGGCUAAAAGACGGCCAGGACAGGCCGACUUGAUUAAGCCCAAAAAAAGAUGUCCAAAUGACGUCUAGUGCUGGGUGGGAUUGUCGUGGAUGCAUUAUUUCUCAUUGCGUGGAUGUGCUCAUGUUUGACAAAUGCAUCAUCAUGUCUUCUCUCUCUGUGUGUUCGUGUGUGAUUUUAAAGGCGCUAGAGAGUCCGGGAAAAGCACUAUAGUGAAACAGAUGCGCAUCCUGCACGUCAAUGGCUUUAACGCAGAAUGAGUGUCUGUUUAUUCAUCGUUGUUUAAGACUGGGCCAGUAUAAGUAAAAUAGACAUGCUUUGUUUGACAGAAACAUGGCUUAAGCCAGAUGAUUAUAUUACUCUAAAUGAAUCCGUUCCCCAAGAUUAUUACUAUAAACACGAGCCUCGUCUAAAAGGUAGAGGGGGAGGUGUCGCUUGCACUUUACAAUAAUUCUUUUAUCACCUCUCAGAAGUCUAAUUUUAAAUACAAUUCUUUUGAAGUCAUGGUACUUCACGUAUCGACACCUAAUACUAAGGACAAAACAUUUUUAAAAUGUAUUCUAGCUAUUGUAUAUAGGCCUCCAGGGCACCACACAGAUUUUAUUAAAGAUUUUGGUGGGUUCUUAUCAGGACUAGUACUGGCCGCAGAUAGAGUUCUUGUCGUCUGUGACUUUAAUAUCCAUGUAGACAAUGAUACAGAUGCCUUGGGACUGGCUUUCAAAGACACUCUUAACUCCAUGGGCGUUAGUCAACAUGUGUCAGGACCCACUCACCUUCGUAAUCAUACUUUAGAUUUAAUACUUUCUUAUGGUAUAAAUGUGGACGAUGUUAAAAUCGUUCAGCAGAGUGAAGACAUUUCGGAUCAUUAUCUGAUAUUAUGUUUGCUUCAAUGGCCUACGGCUGCAAAUCAAACUCCUUGUUACAAAUAUGGUAGAACGAUUACUUCAACUACCAAAGAUCCCAACAAACAUUGGUCCGACGGCAACGUCGUGUCCCUGGCCGAAAAUAGUCGCGGUAGGACGACAUUAACCGGUAAAAAUAUGUGACAUAUAACAUUUGCUAAAAAUGCAUUCAGAUACAUGUGUACAUGUCAUCAGAUCUCUAGGGUUGCAUAUAUGAUUGUUACUUUGACUUUAGCUACGUUUAAUUAUAUAAAUAUUGAAGCGGUUGAAAGGGCGUCCUCUUGUGACGUCCUCUACACGUGCAUUUUUAGUCCAUCGUGACCCUCUUAUGAAAUAAGCAAAAUAAAUUGUGCUUACAUUGAAUAAUACUGCAAUAAUUCAUUUGAGUCCCCAUUAAUUUAAAAAAUGUUGUGAAUAGACGUCCACUGACGUUACACGUCAAACAACACCCAUUGUAAAAUGCAGGAAAUCUUUUUUUUAAAUACACGAUCAUUUGUAUUCAUCUAAGUUAGUUAAAUGACACAUUUUACAGAUAUAAUGUUAUAAUAUCUGCUUUCACAAUUUAAAGUGGAUGAUUGCCAAAACUGUGCUGUCAAAAUCGGUGAUUCAUUCUCCAGUCCAGUUGGUGGCGGUAAUGCGCCUUCAGUUGAUUUACCAUCAGCAAUAAACUCUAAAGAAGAAGAAGACUCUGUAAUGGCGGUCUGGUUUAUUUCGAAAAGUGACGGAGUUAUACAAAUACUACUGUUGUGUAAGUACAUUUUGUUUAGUUUUAUUAAUGUGGUUGAGUCUUACCUGUUGGACACGAAGGAACUGAAAGAAAUGAUGCGCACAUUGUCAGCUGCCAUGUAGUUUGUGUUUGGCUAAAAUUAGCUAGCAGGCUAAAAGGUAGUUUAAAGUUACGCUUUUUUGUAAAGGCUGGCGGGUAAAGAGUUAACUUUGGCUGAGUUUUGUGUCAGUUACAAUUAACAUUAAGUUGAGUAAUUUCAUGCAACUACAAUGUGUAAAUAAAUCAGGGGUUCCAAACCCUCUUCCUUUGGGACAUCCGGCCUAAUUGUUUGUAUUAAACAAAAAAUGUGAAAGCAAGUGUCACAUUCUGUUUAGAAGUAGUCAUGGGUCCAGGUGUGUGUACAUAUUAAUGAACAGAUUUUUCUUUCAGGAUUCCAAUAAUAUUUUCCAUGCUUUUCGGUAUUAAAGAUGAACUUCAGUGAAUAGCUGGCAUUCUGGAACAUGGCAAGUCUACAUCAUCUAAUAAGAGAUUGGAUUGUGACAAAGAAUGUGUGUGUUUGUGCGGAUGUUAGUUUGUGUUUGUUUGUUUUUCUCUAUCUCUUUCUCUGUGUAUAAACAAAUAUUUGGGUAGUUAACAAAAGAACUAUAGUGAUGGCAAAAAAUCUGAAAACAAACUGUCAUUUUUCUGAGGUGAAGUAAUCCUGAGUCAUUUAUUUCACAGAAUCACGUUAAAUGCAUUUAUUGUGAAAUUCAUUAUGAAGGGUGGUGGUCAACUUGAAAAGAGGACAUUCAAAGCUAUACUAUGUAAUUCAAGACUCUUCAUAGAAGAUGAAGACUUGCCAUGAUCAAGAAUACCAGCUAUUUGCUGAAGUUCAUCUUUCAAAACAAACAGCAUGGACUACACCACUCAUCAGAUGCUGUGAACAGGUAUAGCCCAAAUGCAACAGAUUAAGACUUUUAUGCAGCAAUGGCGGAACACAUGAAGCACACUGGGGUUGAUGGAUACUUGUUUUAUUGCUGUUUUAACAGUAAUACAAGACUGUUAGGAAAUAAUUUGGUAGUGCCAUAGCUCUGACUCUCAUCCAUCAAUGGUGGAACACAUGAAUCACACUCCCGGAAGAGCUGGUGGCCGGGGACCAAGAAAAUUAGUAAACAUUUUGAAAAAAAUGGACUAAAGUAGUUUCAUAUGUGUUUCUGUAAUACUGUACUUUUGUCAUUUUCAUGUUUGAUUAAUGGCUGCUAAACAUAAACUCCUUUGCUAUCCAGAUUCUACUAUUUUUAUUUUUCUGUUUGAAUAGUGGCUGUCAAACAAAUGGAAGACAAUGAAAAAAUGUGAUGUUCACUAUAAAAUGUGUGGUGCUAAAUUAAAACACUUAUUUUUGCCUAA